rnacentral:rRNA from 1 species
UGGGGAAUCUUGCACAAUGGGGGAAACCCUGAUGCAGCGACGCCGCGUGAGUGAUGAAGCCCUUCGGGGUGUAAAGCUCUUUCGGCAGGGACGAUAAUGACGGUACCUGAAGAAGAAGCUGCGGCUAACUACGUGCCAGCAGCCGCGGUAAUACGUAGGCAGCGAGCGUUGUUCGGAGUUACUGGGCGUAAAGAGUGCGUAGGCGGUUUUCUAAGUUUGGUGUGAAAUCUCCCGGCUUAACUGGGAGGGUGCGCCGAAGACUGGAAGGCUAGAGUAUGGGAGAGGUAAGCGGAAUUCCUGGUGUAGCGGUGAAAUGCGUAGAUAUCAGGAGGAACACCUGCGGUGUAGACGGCUUACUGGACCAUAACUGACGCUGAGGCACGAAAGCGUGGGUAGCAAACAGG